AAAUAUAUGGCUGUGGGCCUAAAGCCGGCCUCGGAGUGCUUAAAAAUUCAACUUUUAGCCACGUCCGUCCAUGAUGGGUGCGUGGCAGACGCCGAAUUCCCACAAUUAAGUCGAACGCCCACGAACUUGCCGACCGCCAUGUCGCCGUCUCCAGGUCUAGGACUCAGGCCUGGGCCCUGGCCCUGUCCACGCGGCGUAUGCGCAAUGGGCAGCGCAGCACGGGAUAGGGGAACACGCUCCUCUGGCUCCUCUGCGUGGCAUCUGCGGUAUCCGAACUUAUGCAAAUUUUAAAAGCAUCGAUUAUUUUAUUAUGCCUGUUUGUAUUUGUUGGCCCUAAGUGCCGCAGAGUCAUGGGGAAGGGCAUUCAGCCCCCAACUGCUGCCACGGGCCUUCCCCGAAUCGCUGACCCAAAAAAUAACCCACAUACCCAUUUGCAUGGAAAUUUGUGCCCGGCCUGAUGGAUAGUUCGACUUUGUUCUUUUUUCGUUCUCAGUUCGAAAGCACCCAGGCUCAGUGGGCGCAGGAAGCCAAAUCGAACAGGAAAUCCCCAGAUAUGGGGCAACAGAAGCUCUAAAAUACAGCGCUUUAGGAGAUCUAGCAGAGAAGUCUGCUAUGUUGAGCUGUGCCUGUGUGCGUGCGGGUGUCAUUCCUUUUGUUGGCCGCUGACAGGCAGACAGAUUCCAACCGGAAGUCGCGGGAAGCGGAAGGAAAUGCCUUCGUGGCUGCUUGCCGAGACAGUGUCAAAAGUUUAACUCUAGAUUUAUUUGCCAUUUAAUGCUGCAGCUCCCCCUUGCUUUGUACAGGAGUUAUAGAGGAGUUAUAAAUCUCCCGGCUGUCUAAGCAGGUCAAUGCUCAGGCCAACCUCCCGACGAAGCCGCUGCAUUUGCCUUCUCACGUUGCAGCUGCAGCCCAGUUCACCGCCCCUGUCGACAUUUGGACCAGUGUGAGGUCUGUUUGUUUGCUGCCUGCCACAAAGUUGUCAACGCGGCAACUAAACGAGUUUUGGUCUUGUGGUGUUCUCUAUAGGUAUGUAGUGCGCCUGUGUUUGUUGGUGGGUUUCCUUUGUUGUCCUCCCGCCCGAAAUUCGAAGUUGUUUUCCCCGCCGAGGGCAUGCGCAAGGAGAGUAACAUACGAGAUGAGAGAGCGAGUGGUACAACAUCUCGAAGUAUAAGAGAUGGGAGAUGGCGUUGCCACGUAAUUCAAAAUUAUAUAAAAGCCGGAUAUAGGCCUAUAUUGUUUUGUUAAAUCGUGCAACAAAGUAAUAUAAUUGCAUUGAACUAUUUCGAUAACAAUAAACAUGAAUUUUAAUUUCUUUUUUGGAAUUUCACAUAAAGAUUUAAUUUCUCAACAAAAUCUAUGUAUUCAUAAUAACCAGUUUAAACAUCAAAUGUUGAUUUUUUUUUUGAUUGGCAGUAAAAUAUUUUCAAUUUAUAAUAUUUUUUGUGGGCACUAAAAUUAGUUUCUAACAACUUGUACUAGGCAGAACGAAGAAAUAAUAAUCCUUGUAGGUACAAAUUCUGAGAACCCAACUGAAAUAAAUGCCUUAACCUCUCUAAAGAUUUAAAUUAAAGAAUUUAUAAUCAUUAUAUAGUCUUACCAAUAUUAAUUCAAUUAAGUAGUAUUACGCACAUUUACGCCACCUAUAAAACCAUACAAGCAAAAGACACCACCAUGGUUUUUCUCAAAAGACACGGUUAACCUUUCUCUGCAUUAUACAACAAAGGCAAUCACUCCGCCAACAGUAUACCAACAAAAAUUUAUAUCUCUCAAGGAAAACUUUCAUAACUACGGAUUUAUCUACACGGACGGUUCCAAAUCAGCCCAAGGAGUAUCCUAUAGCGUCACGACAGAAACAACAGUAAUUAAAACAGCCAUUCUUCCGACACUCAGCUCAAUUUAUACAGCAGAGGUGGCAGCCAUCUAUGCUGCAUGUAAAUACGCUGACAAGCAAAAGAAAAAAGUGGUUAUCUGCUCUGACUCCCUAUCUGCUGUAACUUCAGUUACCAACACCAAUAACCAAUCUUUCUAUACCGUUCGUAUUCGAGACAUCCUCAACCGCCACCAACCAAAGAUUAUAUUACUGUGGAUUCCAGGCCAUAACAAUAUUCCUGGUAACGACACAGCAGACCUAGCAGCAAAAGAAGCUCACAAAUUCCCACAGGUUAUGGAAUGCAACUAUAACUUUACAGACACACAGUUAUUCAUUAAAAAUACCUUCAAAAAACAAAUGGAAUCGAUCUGGCAAAACGCAUCUAACCACUACAAAUAUUUCAACGAAAAAAAAUUAUCAAUUAAAGAUUACACCAUCCCAUCCGAAGACAACAUCAACCGCAGAGAUCUCACAAAAUUCUUAAGACUACGUUUUGGACACACAAGAUACACCCAUGAGCAUGUUCUCAAUAAACAACCCCCACCCCAGUGCGAGCACUGCAGUACGCGAAACAACGUGCGGCACUUUUUCCUAGAGUGUCCAGUUCAUGAAACUUCAAGAAGCAACACCCUCUCCAUAAAGUCACCUGAUGCCCUAUCCCCAAAAUCCACCAAUAUCGCCAGCGCCAAUGUUUUCAUCAAGGCCAUACGCUUAUAUAACAAUAUAUAAAUUUUGUAAAUAACCAUAUAUAAAUACACUUUCUCAGAAAAUAUGUAAAUAACAUCCUCCUAGCUUAAGGCCCAGUAGCUAUAGCUAAAUUAAGUGGUUGGUGGCAAUUUGCAAUUGUCCCAAAACCAGAAUAUAAAUAAAUAAAUAAAUAAAUUUGUUA